rnacentral:rRNA from 1 species
AUAAGCGGAGGAAAAGAAACCAACAGGGAUUGCCCCAGUAACGGCGAGUGAAGCGGCAACAGCUCAAAUUUGAAAUCUGGCCCCUCCCACGGGGGGGCCCGAGUUGUAAUUUGCAGAGGAUGCUUCUGGCGAGGUGCCUUCCGAGUUCCCUGGAACGGGACGCCACAGAGGGUGAGAGCCCCGUCUGGUCGGACACCGAGCCUCUGUGAAGCUCCUUCGACGAGUCGAGUAGUUUGGGAAUGCUGCUCUAAAUGGGAGGUAUAUGUCUUCUAAAGCUAAAUACCGGCCAGAGACCGAUAGCGCACAAGUAGAGUGAUCGAAAGAUGAAAAGCACUUUGAAAAGAGGGUUAAACAGUACGUGAAAUUGUUGAAAGGGAAGCGCUCACGACCAGACCUGGUCCCGGCGAAUCACCCGGCGUUCUCGCCGGUGCACUUCGGCGGGCUUCCAGGCCAGCAUCAGUCCGCGCCGGGGGACAAAGGCGGCGGGAACGUGGCUCCCCAGGGAGUGUUAUAGCCCGCCGCGCAAUGCCCCGGGGGCGGACUGAGGACCGCGCGUCUACCGCAAGGAUGCUGGCGUAAUGGUCGUCAGCGACCCGUCUUG